rnacentral:lncRNA from 1 species
UUAUUUCUUAGACCCAUUAAAACAACAAAGAAUCUAAGGGGCUUGUGAAAUGGUAUGUUCCAAAGUGGCACAACCCAAUUAUCUCAUGAAUCAUUCAGCACAAAAUUCUUCCCCUAACGCCAACCGGAAAUUCCAUUUUGUCUCCAUAUAAGGAAUCCAGAAGCAUCGACGUGCUCCAUCGUCUUUAGCACCAAAGGAACAAUCAGAUAUCUACUAAAUUGUUCAUAGCGUCAAGGAAUGUAUUCAAGUUAGAUAGUAGUUGCUCAUAUUCAGUUUCUGUAACAAAC